rnacentral:rRNA from 1 species
UAGACGGCGUAUUAAGUUCGUUGUUAAAUCUUCCGGGCCUAACCGGGAAGCUCGCGAUGGAAACUGAUAUGCUUGAGGAUGGAAGAGAGAAGUGGAAUUCUCGGAGUAGCGGUAAAAUGCGUAGAUCUCGAGAGGAACACCGAUGGCGAAGGCAGCUUCUUGGUCCAUUCCCGACGUUGAGACACGAAAGCGUGGGUAGCAAACAGGAUUAGAUACCCUGGUAGUCCACGCCGUAAACGAUGAUCACUGGAUGUCGGUUUCGCUCUGCGAAAUCGGUAUCGAAGCUAACGCGUUAAGUGAUCCGCCUGGGAAGUACGGUCGCAAGAUUAAAACUCAAAGGAAUUGACGGGGGUCCGCACAAGCGGUGGAACAUGUGGUUUAAUUCGACACUACGCGAGGAACCUUACCUGGGCUUGACAUGCUCUUGCCCGCCGUGGAAACACGGUUUCCUGAAUUUCGGUUCAGGCAGGAGUACAGGUGCUGCAUGGCUGUCGCCAGCUCGUGUCGUGAGAUGUUUGGUUAAGUCCUCUAACGAGCGCAACCCCUGCUGCUAGUUGCAACUGCUUUAUGCAAGGCACUCUAGCGGGACUGCCUGGGAAACCAGGAGGAAGGUGGGGAUGACGUCAAGUCAUCAUGGUCCUUAUGUCCAGGGCUACACACGUGUUACAAUGGUCGGUACAAAGGGGUGCAAUACCGCGAGGUGGAGCAAAUCCCAAAAAGCCGAUCUAAGUUCGGAUUGGAGUCUGCAAUUCGACUCCAUGAAGUUGAAAUCGCUAGUAAUCGUAUAUCAGCAACGAUACGGUGAAUACGUUCUCGGACCUUGUACACACCGCCCGUCACACCACGAAAACUGUUUGUACCCGAUGCUAUCUUAGCCAACCCGUAAGGGAGGCGGGUAGUUAAGGUAUGGGUAGUGACUUGGGGUGAAGUCGUAGCACGUAGCC